rnacentral:tRNA from 3 species
GGGCAUGUGGCCUAGUGGACAGGGCGAGAGGUUCCUAACCUCUAGACCGCGGGUUCGAAUCCCGCCAUGCCCG